GUUAAGAUAAGGGUAAUAUAUUUCUUGCAUGUUCUGCACCAACAUUCCUUGUAUUUGGAAUGGAGACCAGGUCAUGGUAAGUUCUAAAUUUAUUUAUGUUGCUGCUUAGGUAAUAUAUAAGGGUUAUAUCAAUCAUUAGUUUUUUCAUUAUUUCCUAUGCUAUUGGUGUUAUAUUUAAUAAGUAGUUACUCUUCUUCUCCGACCCUCUUUUUUAUGUAGCCUCUUAGAAUUUUCUUGUCUUAUCUCCAAUUCAGAAAUAGUCACCAGAUUUGAAGAAACACAAGUGCAUCAGGGUAGAUUUCUCUCCUAAGGGUUAAAAGAGUGAAUAACAUGUGGAAUGAUGGCUUCUCAAUUUUAGGCUUUUCUUGAUGCUACUGAGUGUCUCUAUAAAACACAAAAGCUUGCCGGCAAACCUGCUGGAAUUAUCUCCCGCACUCGAUACCAAGGUGGUCAAGAAGAGACUACAAUUACAUUAUUUACUGAUUGUGAUGGUAUCAUCCCUCUAGUUCACCGUGGAAUGGUAUUUGUUCCAUUUGGAAUAAGAUUUACAUACAACCAUGAGUUUGAAAAUAU